rnacentral:rRNA from 1 species
CGUGGGUAACCUGCCCAAGAGAUCGGGAUAACACCUGGAAACAGAUGCUAAUACCGGAUAACAACAGAUGAUGCCUAUCAACUGUUUAAAAGAUGGUUCUGCUAUCACUCUUGGAUGGACCUGCGGUGCAUUAGCUAGUUGGUAGGGUAACGGCCUACCAAGGCGAUGAUGCAUAGCCAGUUGAGAGACUGAUCGGCCACAUUGGGACUGAGACACGGCCCAAACUCCUACGGGAGGCAGCAGGC